rnacentral:rRNA from 1 species
AAAAUUUAAAGGACGCGGUAACCUUGACCGUGAUAAUGUAGCAUAAUCAUUCGCCAUUUAAUUGAUGGAUAGUAUGAAUGGUUGAACGAAUAUUUCACUGUCUUAAAAAGAAAUACCCAAAAAUUAGAAUAAUAGUAAAGAUACUAUUUAAGAUUGUAAGACGAAAAGACCCUAUAGAGCUUAACUAUAAUCUCUUUAUAAAAAAAAAAAGAAAAUUAUUCUAAAAAUAAAGAGAUAGGUAGUUUAGUUGGGGCGACUAUCUUUUAAAAUAAACAAAGAUAAGCAAAGUAAAUAAAAAAACUUAUUGUAUAAUUAAUAAAUUUAACAAUUAUAAAAAUAGGCUAUAAUGACCCGUUAUAAUUUAAUAAUAAAAAUAACGAUCAAUAAAUAAAAGCUACCUUAGGGAUAACAGGAUAAUUUUAUUUUAGAGACCUAAUCGAAAAUAAAGUUUGUCACCUCUAUGUUGAAUUAAGA